UACGUAGGGGGCGAGCGUUGUCCGGAUUUAUUGGGCGUAAAGCGCGGGCAGGCGGCCCCGUAAGUCGGCCGUGAAAGCGCCGGGCUCAACCCGGCGAGGACGGGCGAGACUGCAGGGCUCGAGAGAGGCAGAGGGCGGUGGAAUUCCGGGUGUAGUGGUGGAAUGCGUAGAGCUCCGGAGGAACACCAGUGGCGAAGGCGGCCGCCUGGGCCUUUUCGUCGACGCUGAGCCGCGAAAGCGUGGGGAGCGAGCCGG
rnacentral:rRNA from 1 species